rnacentral:rRNA from 1 species
GGGCGUAAGGGCUCGCAGGCGGUUUCUUAAGUCUGAUGUGAAAGCCCCCGGCUCAACCGGGGAGGGUCAUUGGAAACUGGGGAACUUGAGUGCCGAAGAGGAGAGUGGAAUUCCACGUGUAGCGGUGAAAUGCGUAGAGAUGUGGAGGAACACCAGUGGCGAAGGCGACUCUCUGGUCUGUAACUGACGCUGAGGAGCGAAAGCGUGGGGAGCGAACAGGAUUAGAUACCCUGGUAGUCCACGCCGUAAACGAUGAGUGCUAAGUGUUAGGGGGUUUCCGCCCCUUAGUGCUGCAGCUAACGCAUUAAGCACUCCGCCUGGGGAGUACGGUCGCAAGACUGAAACUCAAAGGAAUUGACGGGGGCCCGCACAAGCGGUGGAGCAUGUGGUUUAAUUCGAAGCAACGCGAAGAACCUUACCAGGUCUUGACAUCCUCUGACAAUCCUAGAGAUAGGACGUCCCCUUCGGGGGCAGAGUGACAGGUGGUGCAUGGUUGUCGUCAGCUCGUGUCGUGAGAUGUUGGGUUAAGUCCCGCAACGAGCGCAACCCUUGAUCUUAGUUGCCAGCAUUCAGUUGGGCACUCUAAGGUGACUGCCGGUGACAAACCGGAGGAAGGUGGGGAUGACGUCAAAUCAUCAUGCCCCUUAUGACCUGGGCUACACACGUGCUACAAUGGACAGAACAAAGGGCAGCGAAACCGCGAGGUUAAGCCAAUCCCACAAAUCUGUUCUCAGUUCGGAUCGCAGUCUGCAACUCGACUGCGUGAAGCUGGAAUCGCUAGUAAUCGCGGAUCAGCAUG